rnacentral:rRNA from 1 species
GACGAACGCUGGCGGCGUGCCUAAUACAUGCAAGUCGAGCGGACAGAAGGGAGCUUGCUCCCGGAAGUUAGCGGCGGACGGGUGAGUAACACGUGGGCAACCUACCCUGUAGAUCGGGAUAACAUCGGGAAAUCGGUGCUAAUACCGGAUAAUCAUUUGAAGUGCAUGCUUCGAAUGUAAAAGAUGGCUCCGGCUAUCACUACGGGAUGGGCCCGCGGCGCAUUAGCUAGUUGGUAAGGUAAUGGCUUACCAAGGCAACGAUGCGUAGCCGACCUGAGAGGGUGAUCGGCCACACUGGGACUGAGACACGGCUCAGACUCCUACGGGAGGCAGCAGUAGGGAAUCUUCCGCAAUGGACGAAAGUCUGACGGAGCAACGCCGCGUGAGUGAUGAAGGUUUCCGGAUCGUAAAGCUCUGUUGUUAGGGAAGAACAAGUGCCGUUUGAAUAAGGCGGCACCUUGACGGUACCUAACCAGAAAGCCACGGCUAACUACGUGCCAGCCGCCGCCGUAACAC